rnacentral:pre_miRNA from 1 species
UCUUAUGGAUGAACAAAAGCAGUGGUUUCUUGAGAUGGAAUCCAUUCCUGGUGAAGAUACUGUGAG